GUUGCUAGAACAGUUGAGAUGAUAGGGCAACCAAAGAAAAUGUGGACAAUUCUGUAGACUUGACAUAAUUUUAUCGGAAGAUAACAGUGCUUAUACAUACGCCCGUCAGUCUCCUAAGAUUAGCAAGGUUUCAGCGGUUUUGCGCUAGACGAAAGCCUCAAAAUAUACCAGCUCAGUGUGGUACCAAGUCUAACUUGAGCAUAGAGAUUUCGUCAGAAUGAGAGCUUAAUAUGAAACAACAUGGAGCAGUUUAAAACAAGAACUGAAGAAGCUUAAAUUCAAGAAGGCAUCGCGUUGGUAUAGCUUACCUGCUGACCCAAACA